rnacentral:rRNA from 1 species
UACGUAGGGUGCAAGCGUUGUCCGGAAUUAUUGGGCGUAAAAGAGCUCGUAGGCGGUUUUGUUGCGUCGGCUGUGAAAUCCCGAGCUCAACCUCGGGUCUGCAGUCGAUACGAGCAAACUAGAGUGUUGCAGGGGAGACUGGAAUUCCUGGUGUAGCGGUGAAAUGCGCAGAUAUCAAGGAGGAACACCGGUGGCGUAAGGCGGUUCUC